CAGUAGCCGCGGGAAAACGUAGGGCGCAAGCGUUAUCCGGAAUUAUUGGGCGUAAAGAGCUCGUAGGCGGUUUGUCGCGUCUGCCGUGAAAGUCCGGGGCUCAACCCCGGAUCUGCGGUGGGUACGGGCAGACUAGAGUGAUGUAGGGGAGACUGGAAUUCCUGGUGUAGCGGUGAAGUGCGCAGAUAUCAGGAGGAACACCGAUGGCGAAGGCAGGUCUCUGGGCAUUAACUGACGCUGAGGAGCGAAAGCAUGGGGAGCGAACAGGAUUAGAUACCCCGGUAGUCCCUGUCUCUUAUAC
rnacentral:rRNA from 1 species